GUUAUAUGGUCAAGCGAAUAAGCGCACACGGUGGAUGCCUUGGCGGUCAGAGGCGAUGAAGGACGUGGCAGCCUGCGAAAAGUAUCGGGGAGCUGGCAACAAGCUUUGAUCCGGUAAUGUCCGAAUGGGGAAACCCACCCGCUUGCGGGUAUCCUGCAGUGAAUACAUAGCUGCUGGAAGCGAACCUGGUGAACUGAAAUAUCUAAGUAACCAGAGGAAAAGAAAUCAACCGAGAUUCCGUAAGUAGCGACGAGCGAACGCGGACUAGCCCUUAAGCUGAUUUGGUUCUAGGAAAACGCUCUGGAAAGAGCGGCCAUAGAAGGUGAUAGCCCUGUAUCUGAAAGGGCCAUUUCAGUGAAGACGAGUAGGGCGGGGCACGUGAAACCCUGUCUGAACAUGGGGGGACCAUCCUCCAAGGCUAAAUACUACUGACCGACCGAUAGUGAACCAGUACCGUGAGGGAAAGGCGAAAAGAACCCCGGAGAGGGGAGUGAAAUAGAACCUGAAACCGUGUGCGUACAAGCAGUAGGAGCUCUGCAAGGAGUGACUGCGUACCUUUUGUAUAAUGGGUCAGCGACUUACUGUUCGUGGCAAGCUUAACCGUAUAGGGGAGGCGAAGGGAAACCGAGUCUGAUAAGGGCGCAUAGUCGCGGGCAGUAGACCCGAAACCGGGUGAUCUAGUCAUGCCCAGGGUGAAGGUGCGGUAACACGCACUGGAGGCCCGAACCCACUCCCGUUGCAAAGGUAGGGGAUGAGGUGUGAUUAGGAGUGAAAAGCUAAUCGAACCCGGAGAUAGCUGGUUCUCCUCGAAAGCUAUUUAGGUAGCGCCUCAUAUGUAUCCUCUCGGGGGUAGAGCACUGUUAUGGCUAGGGGGUCAUCGCGACUUACCAAACCAUUGCAAACUCCGAAUACCGAGACGGACUGUAUGGGAGACACACGGCGGGUGCUAACGUCCGUCGUGAAAAGGGAAACAACCCAGACCCACAGCUAAGGUCCCAAAUUUUGUGCUAAGUGGAAAACCAUGUGGAAAGGCACAGACAGCCAGGAGGUUGGCUUAGAAGCAGCCACCCUUUAAAGAAAGCGUAAUAGCUCACUGGUCGAGUCGGUCUGCGGGGAAGAUUUAACGGGGCUAAGCACAGAACCGAAGCUUGGGGUGCAUAACUUUGUUAUGCGCGGUAGAGGAGCGUUCCGUAAGCCGUUGAAGGUGGAUUGAGAAGUCUGCUGGAGGUAUCGGAAGUGCGAAUGCUGACAUGAGUAACGAUAAUGCGGGUGAAAAACCCGCACGCCGAAAGCCCAAGGUUUCCUUGCGCAACGUUAAUCGGCGCAGGGUGAGUCGGCCCCUAAGGCGAGGACGAAAGUCGUAGUCGAUGGGAAGCAGGUUAAUAUUCCUGCACCUCGCGUAAGUGCGAUGGAGGGACGGAGAAGGUUAGGUGUACCAGGCGUUGGUUGUCCUGGGGAAAGGCGGUAGGUUUGGAUCUUUGGCAAAUCCGGGAUCCUCUAAGACCGAGCACCGAGACGAGCCUUUAUGGCGAAGUCACUGAUACCACGCUUCCAGGAAAAGCUCCUAAGCUUCAGCUUACGCAGACCGUACCGUAAACCGACACAGGUGGGUAGGAUGAGAAUUCUCAGGCGCUUGAGAGAACUCGGGUGAAGGAACUAGGCAACAUGGCACCGUAACUUCGGGAGAAGGUGCACCCUUUUUGGUGGCUCGUGCGAGCUAUAGCUGAAGAGGGUCGCAGUAACCAGGCCGCUGCGACUGUUUAUCAAAAACACAGCACUCUGCAAACACGAAAGUGGACGUAUAGGGUGUGACGCCUGCCCGGUGCUGGAAGGUUAAUUGAUGGGGUCAGCCGCAAGGCGAAGCUCUUGAUCGAAGCCCCAGUAAACGGCGGCCGUAACUAUAACGGUCCUAAGGUAGCGAAAUUCCUUG
rnacentral:rRNA from 1 species